CUUGUUGUUAUUGAAACAUUACAAGAACAGGAAUUCAUCAGCGAGAACAUACGACACUACUACAGUAAGUUUCAUGGAUUCUGGAUUGGGUUAUGACAAGAUGCUGACCAAAACUGGGUAUGGGUUGAUGGACAUAAAGACACUUUAGGGUAUUGGAUAAAUGAGCCGUUUGGUCCCUCUGGUUCAAAUGUGCUGAUGAUUCCUGGGAGGCCUCCAAACAGCAGUUGGGAUAAAGCAGAAGACAAUAUGAGAGACAAAUUCAUCUGUGAGACUGAACCCCUGAUCAAGUCCUUCAAUUAGAUCUGUGGUUUCACUUGUUACUUUAAUAUGAAUAUGUCUUAUCACAGCCAGACAUAUAUUAAACCAAUACAAUUUUCUAUUCUUGUCUUAAUAUCUCGCUAUCAUGAAUAUCUUGCUGUAGGAGAUCAUUUCUGCUAG